UGGCCAUCCGAGUUGUAAUCUAGAGAAGUGUUACCCGCGUCGGACCGUGUAUAAGUCUCCUGGAAUGGAGCGUCAUAGAGGGUGAGAAUCCCGUCUUUGACACGGACUACCGAGGCUUUGUGGUGCUCUCAAAGAGUCGAGUUGUUUGGGAAUGCAGCUCAAAAUGGGUGGUAAAUUCCAUCUAAAGCUAAAUAUUGGCGAGAGACCGAUAGCGAACAAGUACCGUGAGGGAAAGAUGAAAAGAACUUUGGAAAGAGAGUUAAACAGUACGUGAAAUUGCUGAAAGGGAAACGCUUGAAGUCAGUCGCGUUGGCCGGGAAUCAGCCUUGCUUUUGCUUGGUGUACUUUCUGGUUGACGGGCCAGCAUCAGUUUUGACCGGUGGAAAAAGUUCAGGGGAAUGUGGCANCUUCGGGUGUGUUAUAGCCCUUGUUCGUAUACAUCGGUUGGGACUGAGGAACUCAGCACGCCGCAAGGCCGGGUCUUUGACCACGUUCGUGCUUAGGAUGCUGGCAUAAUGGCUUUAAUCGACCCGUCUUGAAACACGGACCAAGGAGUCUAACAUGCCUGCGAGUGUUUGGGUGGAAAACCCGAGCGCGUAAUGAAAGUGAAAGUUGAGAUCCCUGUCAUGGGGAGCAUCGACGCCCGGACCUGACGUUUUCUGACGGCCCUGCGGUAGAGCAUGUAUGUUGGGACCCGAAAGAUGGUGAACUAUGCCUGAAUAGGGUGAAGCCAGAGGAAACUCUGGUGGAGGCUCGUAGC
rnacentral:rRNA from 1 species